UCCGGUUUGUCACCGGCAGUCUCGCAUGAGUCCCCAACUAAAUGCUGGCAACAUGGGACAGGGGUUGCGCUCGUUGCGCCACUUAAGGCAACACCUCACGGCACGAGCUGACGACAGCCAUGCAGCGCCAUGUCAAGCCCAGGUAAGGUUCUUCGCGUUGCAUCGAAUUAAAGAACAUGCUCCGCUGCUUGUGCGGGCCCCCGUCAAUUCUUUUGAGUUUUAGCCUUGCGGCCGUACUCCCCAGGCGGAACACUUAACGCGUUGGCUGCGGCACAGGGGGAUUCGACUUCCCCCACACCUAGUGUUCAUCGUUUACGGCGUGGACUAC
rnacentral:misc_RNA from 1 species